rnacentral:rRNA from 1 species
AACGAACGCUGGCGGCAGGCUUAACACAUGCAAGUCGAGCGCCCCGCAAGGGGAGCGGCAGACGGGUGAGUAACGCGUGGGAAUCUACCCAUCUCUACGGAAUAACGCAUGGAAACGUGUGCUAAUACCGUAUACGUCCUUCGGGAGAAAGAUUUAUCGGAGAUGGAUGAGCCCGCGUUGGAUUAGCUAGUUGGUGGGGUAAAGGCCUACCAAGGCGACGAUCCAUAGCUGGUCUGAGAGGAUGAUCAGCCACACUGGGACGGAGACACGGCCCAGACUCCUACGGGAGGCAGCAGUGGGGAAUAUUGGACAAUGGGCGCAAGCCUGAUCCAGCCAUGCCGCGUGAGUGAUGAUGGCCCUAGGGUUGUAAAGCUCUUUCACCGGUGAAGAUAAUGACGGUAACCGGAGAAGAAGCCCCGGCUAACUUCGUGCCAGCCGCCGCAGUAACAC